GCCCGGGUGGCUCAGUCGGCUGAGCGUCUGACUUCCGCUCCGGUCAUGAUCUCACAGUCUGUGAGUUCAAGCCUUGCCUCGGUCU
rnacentral:tRNA from 1 species